GGAGCUGGAUAGCUCGGUGGGUUAAAGCAUGAUGCUGACAACGCCAGGGUUGCAGGUUCGAUCCCGGAAGGGACAGCUGCA